UGGUACUAUGGUUAGUCUUGUGGAGUCGAGUGUCUAGUUAGGAUCUGGAACUUUAUCAUUACGUUAGGUUCUAGAUUGAGUUUGUGUUGUGUGAGUGUGCCGACAGUAUGAGCGUAACUCGUCCAUACUAGGCUUGUUUAGGGGUGAUUAGUGUUUCCUCAACCUCGUACCCAGUGGGUUUAAGGUAACCCCUUAUUCGUUGGAUCGGGAAGACUCAGAGAGACGGGAUCAUGGCCUAGGGCUGAGUUAUUACACGACGGUGUAAUGUGGCAGUGACCCGAAGGACUAAGGGCUGUCGCGCAGUGACCCGAAGGACUGUGGGCCGCGGUCGGUUGAAAGUUCCUUCUUCUGGCCUUUGUGGUAGGAAGAUAGGAUAUUGCCGAUAGAGAGGAUGAACACUAAGUCACCAUUUCCCGGGGUAGUGU